GGCCGCGGGAAUUCGAUUGAGGGCGGACGGGCACACUGGGACUGAGACACGGCCCAUACUCCUACGGGAGGCAGCAGUGGGGAAUUGUUCGCAAUGGGCGCAAGCCUGACGACGCAACGCCGCGUGGAGGAUGAAGAUCUUCGGGUCGUAAACUCCUUUCGAUCGAGACGAACGACUUCCGGGCUAAUCACCGGGAGAGUGACGGUACCGAGAGAAGAAGCCCCGGCUAACUCCGUG
rnacentral:rRNA from 1 species